UACGUAGGUGGCAAGCGUUGUCCGGAGUUAUUGGGCGUAAAGCGCGCGCAGGCGGUGCGGUAAGUCUCUGGUGAAAGCGCUCGGCUUAACUGGGCGAGGGCCGGGGAGACUGCCACGCUAGAGGGGAGCAGAGGCGAGUGGAAUUCCGGGUGUAGUGGUGAAAUGCGUAGAGAUCCGGAGGAACACCAGUGGCGAAGGCGGCUCGCUGGGCUCUACCUGACGCUGAGGCGCGAAAGCGUGGGGAGCGAACCGG
rnacentral:rRNA from 1 species